CUCCUCCUCCGCCUCGCUUCCCACAACAGUUCAUCUUUACAGUUUGUAUCUUCAAAUCAAAUUGAUGUUUGUGAUUACACUUUUAUUUUCAAUUCAAGGAGAUGCUAGAUUGUUAGCCGAACCAUGAUUUGUGAUGCUAGCCUUAGGCGACAUGAUUCAGGUUGUAACAUAACAUUGUUCGAACUCUCUGGAAGGUAGGCUACUUCUUUUCCUUUAAAAACUCCGCAUGCAUGAUGGAAACCUGAGGGCUUUCCAAAAACAAUUAGUGCUGAUAAAUUAGUGCCAUGGCAGCUACUACAAGGUGCUUCCUACAAGCAUAAUAAGAGUCAUUACUAACUCUUCAUAAUUUUUUGACGGGGAUUAACACUAGCUUAGGGACAAAACUAAGUAGAGUACUUUUCACCCCACAUUUCACAGGAAAACUCAAGAUAAAAUCCUGAUUGCAAGGGUAAUAAUGCUUACGACUAUGAAAGCUUAUUCUUCCUUUUUACAGUGAAAGACUAAUAGUUGACAUCUUCUGCCACAUAGAUAGAUGGUAUGCUUAAUUUCUAUAUGUCUAACUGCGUACAAAAUGUAACAAGUAUAGUGUUGAUUGUUGAAGAAAAUAAAAAUAACAAAUAUAUACCUUUAAUAUAUCAACACCUAGAUCAGGGCUGUCAAACUGGACCUUGUUACAAUCCCGCUCCAUGAUUACCACUUUACCAUCAGCAAGUUCUCUGGUACUCGGGUGAUGAACAAUGACAUGCUGGCCAACUGAAAAAGGGGUGCUGCACUUGGUAACCUAUAUUUUCUGGACAUAGCUUGCCGUUCAAAAUAUACUCUAAAGUUUAUUUUAAAUAUAUGAGCAAAAUUGUCUGAAUUAUUCACACAUUGAUAAGUACAAUAGUAUUGCUCUUAAAUAACUGCGGUACGUAUAGCUGUAUUUACGUGAUAUGUUGAUGCGAACCACAUCUUACUUGCUGCUGUUUCCGUCUCUGAAGUGUUGUCAGCUUAUUGUCUUAACUGUUUUUUAUAUGGAAGCACGUGUGUUAGCAUAUGUUCCUGUCCCUAACCUGUUCUGGUCACAAAUAUUUAUUUCAGAUGUUCUUUUCAGUUUUCUUGAGAAGAUAAAACAUGUGACAUUGAUGUUUUAAAUCAGCGAGGGGACUUGUGUCUUCGUCAUUGUUCGUAACGGUGGAUUUUGAGCCAAAGCAUUAUUUACCACAUGUUCCUUAGGCGGAUUUUGACUUGUAGGGGGUUAAAUCACUCUCAAUCCCCUCGAAACCCCUUCAAAUCUCAAGGAACCGAACAAGGCCAUGUGAGAAAAUAGCAAUACCAGGCGAAAGAGGUCCACCUGCUGCAUUACGGCCAUUCCUCAUGUUUGCUGUGGCCCCUGGACGUAAUCCAAGGUUCUUUUCAGCCUCUGUUUCAGCCUCUGGCAGAUUCUCACGGUAUAAAGCCUCUUGUAGGGCACGGACUUUGUCUGAUCGAGAAAUCAACAGAUGGAACAAUGCAAUGAUAAAGGAAAAAGAGUUGAUGAAUAUGAGAGGACACCGAGGCGACAACCCACCAUUACCCACCGACCAUUGUCUGGUUUUUUCAUACGCGACCAAACGGACACUACUAACAACAGUGUUUCAUCUUCCGACGAUGAUGACAAUCUAUCGACACAGCUCCGUAUGAUGGUUCCCAUAGCGGGCAACCUCACGACUUUUUGACCAGUGCCCCAAGUG